UACGUAGGUGGCAAGCGUUGUCCGGAAUUAUUGGGCGUAAAGCGCGCGCAGGCGGUCCUUUAAGUCUGAUGUGAAAGCCCACGGCUCAACCGUGGAAGGUCAUUGGAAACUGGGGGACUUGAGUGCAGAAGAGGAAAGUGGAAUUCCACGUGUAGCGGUGAAAUGCGUAGAGAUGUGGAGGAACACCAGUGGCGAAGGCGACUUUCUGGUCUGUAACUGACGCUGAGGCGCGAAAGCGUGGGGAGCAAACAGGAUUAGAUACC
rnacentral:rRNA from 1 species